rnacentral:tRNA from 1 species
UAUGGCAGAUAAUAUGU